AACGAACGCUGGCGGCAUGCCUAACACAUGCAAGUCGAACGAGACCUUCGGGUCUAGUGGCGCACGGGUGCGUAACGCGUGGGAACCUGCCCUUAGGUUCGGAAUAACUCCCCGAAAGGGGUGCUAAUACCGGAUAAUGUCUUCGGCCCAAAGAUUUAUCGCCUUUGGAUGGGCCCGCGUUGGAUUAGCCAGUUGGUAGGGUAAAAGCCUACCAAGGCGACGAUCCAUAGCUGGUCUGGGAGGAUGAUCAGCCACACUGGGACUGAGACACGGCCCAGACUCCUACGGGAGGCAGCAGUAGGGGAUAUUGGACAAUGGGCGAAAGCCUGAUCCAGCAAUGCCGCGUGAGUGAUGAAGGCCUUAGGGUUGUAAAGCUCUUUUACCCGGGAUGAUAAUGACAGUACCGGGAGAAUAAGCUCCGGCUAACUCCGUG
rnacentral:rRNA from 1 species